rnacentral:rRNA from 1 species
CCUACGGGUGGCUGCAGUGGGGAAUAUUGCACAAUGGGGGAAACCCUGAUGCAGCGACGCCGCGUGAGUGAAGAAGUAUCUCGGUACGUAAAGCUCUAUCAGCGGGGAGGAUAAUGACGGUACCUGAACAAGAAGCCCCGGCUAACUACGUGCCAGCAGCCGCGGUAAUACGUAGGGCGCAAGCGUGAACCGGAUUUACUGGGUGUAAAGGGAGCGUAGACGGCAGCACAAGUCUGGAGUGAAAUCCCGGGGCUUAACCCCGGAACUGCUUUGGAAACUGGGCGGCUGGAGUGCAGGAGGGGUAAGCAGAAUUCCAAGUGUAGCGGUGAAAUGCGUAGAUAUCAGGAGGAACACCGGUGGCGAAGGCGGCUUACUGGACAGUAACUGACGCUGAGGCGCGAAAGCGUGGGGAGCAAACAGGAUUAGAUACCCGUGUAGUC